rnacentral:rRNA from 1 species
UACGUAGGUGGCAAGCGUUGUCCGGAUUUACUGGGCGUAAAGAGCGCGCAGGCGGUCGUUCAAGUCGAGUGUGAAAGCCCCCGGCUCAACUGGGGAGGGUCACUCGAUACUGAUCGACUCGAAGGCAGAAGAGGGAAGCGGAAUUCCCGGUGUAGUGGUGAAAUGCGUAGAUAUCGGGAGGAACACCAGUGGCGAAGGCGGCGGCCUGGACCGAUACUGACGCUGAGGUGCGAAAGCGUGGGGAGCAAACAGG